UACGUAGGGGGCUAGCGUUGUCCGGAAUCAUUGGGCGUAAAGAGCGCGUAGGCGGCCCGGUAAGUCUGCUGUGAAAGUCAAAGGCUCAACCUUUGAAUGUCAUUGGAUACUGCCGGGCUAGAGUCCGGAAGAGGCGAGUGGAACUCCUGGUGUAGCGGUGGAAUGCGCAGAUAUCAGGAAGAACACCAACGGCGAAGGCAGCUCGCUGGGACGGUACUGACGCUGAGGCGCGAAAGCGUGGGGAGCGAACAGG
rnacentral:rRNA from 1 species